UCGAGGUUAUGUCAGGGCACUCCCGCGAAGAUUCUUUUCCAACGAUGCGAUUCUAAUGGAGGCCGCAGUGCAACAAGACAGCGAUGAGGAAGACUCUGAAAGCUCUGAUGAUGACCCCGAGUACGACAGUGGCGAACUCGUUGUUCAGGGUGGAGUGAUCAAUGGCGCUUUGUCAGGCGAUCCUCCUCCUCGUGAAAUCAGAGCCGAAGAAGCAGUGGCAGAUCUCAUGGAGUCACAUGACGAAGAAGAAGAUCUCCAAACCACCAUGGACACCACAACUGACAUCGACGAAGAUGGCAAUAACAAUGAUAAAUAUUUGGUGUGGCAAGAUAUAGUGACGAAUUUUUACUACAUUGAAAUAACUGGUCGUUAGUAACUACUUAUGUGUUAGGGGAUCCAGUAGCUGAGUCUACUCCAAAACGAAGGAAGACGGCUGACAACAACUUACAGUUGCCUGAUGACAACAAUCUACCAUUAAUUUUUACAACAUCUCAACAUUGAUACUUACUAACUAAUCUGUGUUAGCUGCUCCUCUGUCUACAACUACCGCUGCUGCUAGAGUAUUGCUUAGUACUUUGUGUACUACCACUACAACAACUACCACUUCUGCAGCUGCUACUACUACAGCUCGUACUACUAUUGCUGCUAGAAGUCUGUUCAGUGCUGUUGUUACACGUUCUGCCACUGCUAUCACUACUGCUGCCUUUGCAACAACUACACCUGCAGCUGCUACUACUACAGCUCAUACAACUACUGCUGCUAGAGUUUUUUUCCAGUACUGUUGCUACUAGUGCUGCCACUACUACUACUACUGCUCCUGCCACAACUCCUACUACUAGUACUUUUGUGACUACAUCAACUACCAGCCUAGCAGCUGUUCAACCAGCGUCUGUCGUCCUCCCCCCUCCUUUCAUGGCCAUGCUACUAGACAAGCAAGGCGUGCCGAGCAAGCUGUCGGACAACCAGCUCAACAACAACAGAUUCGUCGAGCUCAACAACCACCAGGUCAACAACCACCGGGUCAACAACCACCGGGUCAACAGCCACCGGGUUGAGCUCGACGACCACAAAUUCAUCAAGCUCAACAACAAGCUCAACAACCACAGUUGAGUACAAUGAACAGAAUAGACACAUACAGUCUGGAAUGAGAAAAAGCCGACAGCUUGCUGCCUAUUCUUGGGUACUCUGGACCACCAACAGGACCAACCUUUUAAGACCCCGGCUGCACAGAGCUGUCCAUUUUCUCAAAAAUAUUUGAUGAAGAAGUACUGACAAUGAUUGUGGAUUACACCAACUUGUAUGCAGAAGUAUUUCGAACAGCGGAGCCAGAGAAACAUCAUGACAAAUGGACACCUCUGUCAGUUGGGGAACUUCAAUGCUACAUCGGGUUGGUCAUUGCCAUGGGGAUUUCUAGGUUCCCUUGUAUAUCCUACUACUGACAACAACAAUAUUCCACCUUGAGCGUAGUAGGUAUACCAAGGGUAAUGGCAAGGAACAGUUUUACAUCAAUCUUCAGGUAUCUCCACAUAUCAGACCGUACCCAGGAACCGGCACGUGAGUCAAGAAAUUAUGACAAACUCUACAAAGUUAGAGAAUUUCAUGACCUCCUUGCUACGAAACAUUAGCCCCUGUGUAACAUUGGAAAAGAAGUAACCAUCAACGAAGACACGAUUCCAU